CCUACGGGGGGCAGCAGUGAGGAAUAUUGGUCAAUGGGCGCGAGCCUGAACCAGCCAAGUAGCGUGAAGGAUGAAUGCCCUACGGGUUGUAAACUUCUUUUAUAAAGGAAUAAAGCGCUGCACGUGUGCCUUUUUGUAUGUACUUUAUGAAUAAGGAUCGGCUAAUUCCGUGCCAGCAGCCGCGGUAAUACGGAGGAUCCGCGCGUUAUCCGGAUUUAUUGGGUUUAAAGGGAGCGUAGAUGGGUUGUUCAGUCAUUUGUGAAAGUUUGCGGCUCAACCGUAAAAUUGCAAUUGAUACUGGAAGCCUUGAGUACAGUUGAGGUAGGCGGAAUUCGUGGUGUAGCGGUGAAAUGCUUAGAUAGCACGAAGAACGCCGAUUGCGAAGGCAGCUUACUAAACUGCCACUGACAUUGAUGCUCGAAAGUGUGGGUAUCAAACAGGAUUAGAUACCCGAGUAGUC
rnacentral:rRNA from 1 species